rnacentral:rRNA from 1 species
AGAGCGAACGCUGGCGGCAGGCCUAACACAUGCAAGUCGAGCGCCCCGCAAGGGGAGCGGCAGACGGGAGAGUAACACGUGGGAACGUACCCUUCAGUUCGGAACAACCCAGGGAAACUUGGGCUAAUACCGAAUACGUCCGUAAGGAGAAAGAUUUAUCGCUGAAGGAUCGGCCCGCGUCUGAUUAGCUUGUUGGUGAGGUAACGGCUCACCAAGGCGACGAUCAGUAGCUGGUCUGAGAGGAUGAUCAGCCUCACUGGGACUGAGACACGGCCCAGACUCCUACGGGAGGCAGCAGUGGGGAAUAUUGGACAAUGGGCGCAAGCCUGAUCCAGCCAUGCCGCGUGGGUGAUGAAGGCCUUAGGGUUGUAAAGUCCUUUCGACGGGAAGAUAAUGACGGUACCCGUAGAAGAAGCCCCGGCUAACUUCGCGCCAGCAGCCGC